rnacentral:rRNA from 1 species
GUGCUGAUGAGUGGGGGUAGAGCACUGACAGGGCUAGGGGGCAUACCCGCCUACCAACCCCUAUCAAACUCCGAAUACCAUUCAAUGGAGCGCAGCAGUGAGACGGCGGGGGAUAAGCUUCGUCGUCGAGAGGGAAACAGCCCAGACCGGCAGCUAAGGUGCCUAAAUAGUGCUCAGUGGAAAGGAGGUGAGGUUUCAUAGACAGUGAGGAUGUUGGCUUAGAAGCAGCCACCAUUUAAAAAAUGCGUAAUAGCUUACUCAUCGAGAGACCUUGCGCCGAAAAUACUUGGCGAUAAGCACUAUACCGAAGCUCCGGGUGUCAUAUUUAACUAUAUGGCGCGGUAGAGGAGCAUUCUCUAGACAGUGAAGGGUGAUGGUGACUGACCCUGGAGUGUAGAGAAGUGAGAAUGCAGACAUGAGUAACGAUAAGGCCGGUGAAAUCCCGGCCCGCCGUAAAUCCAAGGUUUCCCGGGCAACGUUUUUCGUCCCGGGGUUAGUCGGGACCUAACCCGAGGCCGAAGGGCGUAGGGGAUGGAAAGCAGGUUAAUAUUCCUGCACCCAGUUAGGAGGACGCAUGAUCAAAAGCUACUAAGUUAUUGAAUUCUGAGGUGAUACUACGGUUGAUCCGCAUAGCUAGAGAGAGUGCCAAGAAAAGUCCUAACAUUAAUGGCCCGUACCGUAAACCGACACAGGUGGAUGGGUAGAAUAUACCAAGGCGCAAGAGUGAAACCUAGUCAAGGAACUCGGCAAAAUAGCCCCGUAACUUCGGAAGAAGGGGUGCCUAUUUUUUAAUAGGCCGCAGUGAAAUGGCCCAACCGACUGUUUAGCAAAAACACAGCAUUGUGCUAAGACGUAAGUCGACGUAUACGAUGUGACACGUGACCAAUGCCAAAAGAUUACGGUAAGGUGUUAGCCCUCGUGGCAAAGCUCCAAGCCCAAGUCCUGGUGAAUGUCGGCCGUAACUAUAACGGUCCUAAGGUAGCGAAAUUCCUUGUCGGGUAAGUUCCGACCUGCACGAAUCGUGCAACGAGUUGGGCGCUGUCUCGACUAGAUGCUCAGUGAAAUUGUAGUGCCGGUGAAGAUGCCGGCUACCCGCAGAAAGACGGAAAGACCCUAUAGACCUUAACUGUAAGCUGUUACUGGUUAUUCGAUUUUAAUGCUCAGCAUAAGUGGGAGACGUUGAAGCGUGUUUUUAGGAACAUGUGGAGUCAUCAGUGAGAUACCACCCUUUAACAUUGGAUGAUCUAACCCUAAGCCGUCAUCCGGCUAGGGGACCGUGGCAGCCGGUCAGUUUUACUGGGGCGGUAUCCUCCUAAAGAGUAACGGAGGAGCGCGAAGUUUGGCUCAGCACAGUUGGUAACUGUGUGUUGAGUGUAAAGGCAUAAGCCAGACUAACUGUGAGACCUACAAGUCGAGCAGAUACGAAAGUAGGCCUUAGUGAUCCGGCGGUUGAAUGUGGAAUUGCCGUCGCUCAACGGAUAAAAGGUACCUUAGGGAUAACAGGCUUAUUUCGCCCAAGAGUUCAUAUCGACGGCGAAGUUUGGCACCUCGAUGUCGGCUCGUCGCAUCCUGGGGCUGGAGAAGGUCCCAAGGGUCCGGCUGUUCGCCGGUUAAAGCGGCACGCGAGCUGGGUUCAGAACGUCGCGAGACAGUUCGGUCCUCUAUCUUCUGUGGGCGUAGGAAAAUUGAUGGGUUCAGAUCCUAGUACGAGAGGACCGGAUCUGACGCACCUCUGGUGUUCCAGUUGUUCUGUCAAGGGCAUUGCUGGGUAGCUAAGUGCGGCACGGAUAAGCGCUGAAAGCAUCUAAGCGCCAAGCCAUUCCAGAGAUUAAUUUUCCCUGAAGGAUCGUGGAAGACCACCACGUUGAUAGGCUGAGGGUAUAAGUGCAGUAAUGUAUGUAGCUCAUCAGUACUAAUCAUCCGUUCGACUUAAUUCC